rnacentral:rRNA from 1 species
AUACGGAAGGUCCGGGCGUUAUCCGGAUUUAUUGGGUUUAAAGGGAGCGCAGGCGGAGAUGCAAGCGUGACGUCAAAUUUCGGGGCUCAACCCCGUCUCGCGUCGCGAACUGUGUCCCUUGGUUGCGGGAAGGGGAGGCGGAACUCGUGGUGUAGCGGUGAAAUGCAUAGAUAUCACGAAGAACUCCGAUCGCGAAGGCAGCCUUCCGGCCCGUCAACGACGCGCAUGCUCGAAGGUGCGGGUAUCAAACAGGAUUAGAUACCCUGGUAGUCCGCACAGUAAACGAUGGACACCCGCGGUUUGGCCUGUAUGGCUGAGCCGCCAAGCGAAAGCGUUAAGUGUCCCACCUGGGGAGUACGCCGGCAACGGUGAAACUCAAAUGAAUUGACGGGG